AUGGCCAUGCCAUGCUGAAAACACCGGUUCUCGUCCGAUCACUGAAGUUAAGCAUCAUCGGGAGUGGUCAGUACUCGGGAGGGUGACUACCUGUGAAUAACGCGUGCCGUU